UACGAAGGGGGCUAGCGUUGCUCGGAAUCACUGGGCGUAAAGCGCACGUAGGCGGAUUGUUAAGUCAGGGGUGAAAUCCUGGAGCUCAACUCCAGAACUGCCUUUGAUACUGGCGAUCUUGAGUCCGGGAGAGGUGAGUGGAACUGCGAGUGUAGAGGUGAAAUUCGUAGAUAUUCGCAAGAACACCAGUGGCGAAGGCGGCUCACUGGCCCGGUACUGACGCUGAGUGAGCGAAAGCCAGGGGAGCAAAGCGGG
rnacentral:rRNA from 1 species